AUACGUAGGUGACAAGCGUUAUCCGGAUUUACUGGGCGUAAAGGGCGUGUAGGCGGUCUUGCAAGUCAGAAGUGAAAUUCCUGAGCUCAACUCGGGCGCUGCUUCUGAAACUGCAGGACUUGAGUGCUGGAGGGGAUAGCGGAAUUCCUAGUGGAGCGGUAAAAUGCGCAGAUAUUAGGAAGAACACCGGUGGCGAAGGCGGCUAUCUGGACAGUAACUGACGCUGAGGCGCGAAAGCGGGGGGAGCAAACAGGAUUAGAUACCCGGGUAGUCCACGCCGUAAACGAUGAAUACUAGGUGUAGGGGGUAUCGACUCCCUCUGUGCCGCAGUUAACACAAUAAGUAUUCCGCCUGGGGAGUACGGCCGCAAGGUUGAAACUCAAAUGAAUUGACGGGG
rnacentral:rRNA from 1 species